rnacentral:rRNA from 1 species
CCUACGGGUGGCAGCAGUGGGGAAUAUUGCACAAUGGGGGGAACCCUGAUGCAGCAAUGCCGCGUGAAGGAUGAAGGUUUUCGGAUUGUAAACUUCUUUUGUACGGGACGAAGAAAGUGACGGUACCGUAAGAAUAAGCCACGGCUAACUACGUGCCAGCAGCCGCGGUAAUACGUAGGUGGCAAGCGUUAUCCGGAUUUACUGGGUGUAAAGGGCGAGUAGGCGGGAUUGCAAGUCAGAUGUGAAAACUAUGGGCUCAACCCGGGCCGGCCGUUGAAACUGGGGAUCUUGAGUGGGCGAGAAGUAUGCGGAAUGCGUGGUGUAGCGGUGAAAUGCAUAGAUAUCACGCAGAACUCCGAUUGCGAAGGCAGCAUACCGGCGCCCGACUGACGCUGAGGCACGAAAGCGUGGGGAUCGAACAGGAUUAGAUACCCUUGUAGUC